AAAGGAGCAAGCCUACCCAUCCCACAUCAUUGUAGAGUGAAGGUAAGUGUACCCUAUAUAGUAAAAUGCAUCAGGUCCCUAAAUUCAAGCAGACACAAUGUACUCCACAGGUCCACAGCACAUACCAUAGUUUGAUGUUCCAGAGAUAUGAUUUUUGAGUUUAUAUUAGUAGUGUGAUCAGUAAACCAAGGUUUUCUGUCUUUCCAAGAGACUGCGGUUAAUAUUCAGAAAGAGGCGCAGAGAACUGAAGGCUUUCCUGACUUGACACCAAAUAAUAACGAAGGCCUGUGUGCUUUGCAGCAGCCUCCACGUCACCCUCUUCCAGUGCUCCGUCAGAGGACUAACGAUAUGCCACAAGAUGAUUGGCAGCAAGACACACCCAGUGAUGAAGGGAUGUGCUCUCCUUAAAUCACAGCCUAUUCAUCAGGUACUCCUGAGUGCUGUGUUAAGAAAUCCUGCCUACAAAGUUCCACUGAGGCUGAUAUAAAGAUGACUGUGAGAAACUGGCUGCGGCUGUCUGAGCAGAGACAGGAAUGGGGGCGGCAAAGGCGGGACAAGCAAGCAUCUUAAGUGAAAUAAUUGAUUGGACUGAUUCUGGAGUAUGACUUAUUCUGGAGGGAAUUUCUUAUUUUUGUUGCAGUUUGCUAUGGGACGGUUUCAAGGACAGGGAUUAGACUAGUUCUAGACUAAAAUAAAUGUAAGAGCUGUCCAAACUGAAAACAACUUGCACUGACAUAUCAUAAAAUACAUCAGUGUCUUUUGUGAUGCUUCAAAAUGCACACAAGUAAUGUUUUUAUUAAGACAUGUUAUUAAAACUAGUAAUAUUUCAGAAUUAAACUAAGGCCUAGUCCCGGUUUAAGAUAAUCCCUGUCCGGGAAACCACCCCAAAGUGUAAUUUGUGGAGUGUUAAAAUAAAUGAAACUGCCUUUGCAAAAACAAAGUAAAAAAAAAUUUCCAGAU